GCACUGCUGGUGUAGUGAUAUCAUGCAAGAUUCCCAUUCUUGCGACCCGGGUUCGAUUACCCGGGCAGUGCA
rnacentral:tRNA from 1 species